UUGAGAAUCUUAAAGGUCUUUUCCAACCUGAGCAAUUCUGUGAUUCUAUGAUUUCUGUUAGAAAUACCUACUCAGUGACAGAAUGUUUUGUUCUGUAGACAUUUGUAUGCUGUUUAACAUAAUCUUUGGUCAAAUGUGUCUGACUUAACCAAUCAUGGCUUUUUGAAAAAGUAGCCAAUUAUUUUUGCUUGGGGGAAAUAAAAGAGCAAAUACUGGCUGGCUACAGGAGGUGUUCUAAUUAGCACAGUCCGGUAUGAAACAGUCUGUCUUUUAAGUAUCAGCUGGCUACAAUACGUGCUUUUCUUCCAUUCAAGUUAAAUGGCCUUGCUGUCAUAAAUUAACCUGUGUGGUGCUCUUACUGAGUUUACAUGUGGUGGGUGCAGGGAAAGAGCAUGUAAAAGUGAGAUAUGUUGACACAUGUAGUGGAAAUGCUAAGUCACAGCCUGAACCGGUGAUUGAGCACCUGGUGGGAAGGCAGGGCCAACACAGGGGAGCUCAGAUGCAAGCAAAGCACUGAGUGAUUGCAAGGGGUGGAGCCAGGAUCCACCCUUUCCCAGACCUCAUUUAAGGACUGGCAGUGGUGGUAAGGAUGUUUUGUUGGAGAUCACUGUAUACCUGAGGCUUUCUGAAGUUUGCCUCUGGUUUUGCAUUGGGACUACUACAAAUCUGGGACCUGAUCCAGUUUUCAAUAUAUUCUGCCCGGCUAUCUGUGGUCUAGCUGCAAUGGAAGCCCCUUUGUUGUUAGCUUAACUGACAUGAAUAAAAGCAAUUCUAUGUGUUCAAGAUUCCUCCUCUGGGAAAAAUGUUGUGCCUGCACCUGAAGACUCCCAGCUGGCCACACAGAAAGCUUAUUAUGAUCAUGGACAAGAGAGGAGAAUUCACAGCUUGGAAGAAGGUGCAAGGACUCAGCUAUUGAGGGAAGUACUUCACUCUUCAUUCUACUGGCAGAGUAGAAAGGAAAUUUGUCAGUUACAGCAGCUUACUUCUAAAGCUGUGAGUGAACUGAAUGCUGCCCUUACAGUUCUUCUCUGCAUGAUCCCUGUUCAGCAGGGAUAUAGAUUAUUAUGUAUAUUUUGUAUAUUAUUUCCUAUAUUCAGAUGUUUUUUUAUGUGAAUGACCUAAUUUUAAGUCCCUUGACUGUACACUCUUCCCCCUCCUGUACCUCUUGUUCUGUAUGUUCUCUAUUUUUCUCUCCUUCACUUAUGCCACACCAGUAAGUUUUAAGUAGCUGAACUCAAAACCAAAUGGUGACAGUUGAUUUCAUUAGUCUUUGUAUGAGCCCAAGGUGUGUGAGACAGCACUGCCUGUGAAAAACAAAGUACUGCCCUGCCAGGGGAAAGGGGUGUGAUAAGAUGUUAUAAUGACUUUUACCUAGUGCAUGGCAGUUGAAAUUCUUCUCAUGUUAAACAUCACCAACUGAAGCAUACCACAUGUCACAUUUUCCAGGGUGGAUUUAUAAAUACAGGUUCCUCCAUGAAGCUAGUAGUCUCUUUUCUUCCCUUUGUAUUCUGCAUUUCGUC